rnacentral:sRNA from 1 species
GGGGUGGGGAGCCUUCUCGGGACUGGCCAAGACUGGUGUGUGAUAGAGCCCCUUGUCCUCAGCGGAAGAUGGACAGCACAUGUUCCUGCACCCCGUGAAUGUGCGCUGCCUCGUGCGGGAGUACGGCAGCCUGGAGAGGAGCCCCGAGAAGAUCUCAGCAACUGUGGUGGAGAUUGCUGGCUACACCAUGUCUGAGGAUGUUCGACAGCGUCACAGAUAUCUCUCUCACUUGCCACUCACCUGUGAGUUCAGCAUCUGUGAACUGGCUUUGCAACCUCCUGUGGUCUCUAAGGAAACCCUAGAGAUGUUCUCAGAUGACAUUGAGAAGAGGAAACGUCAGCGCCAAAAGAAGGCUCGGGAGGAACGCCGCCGAGAGCGCAGGAUUGAGAUAGAGGAGAACAAGAAACAGGGCAA